AAUUGAAGAGUUUGAUCAUGGCUCAGAUUGAACGCUGGCGGCAGGCCUAACACAUGCAAGUCGAGCGGUAGCACAGAGAGCUUGCUCUCGGGUGACGAGCGGCGGACGGGUGAGUAAUGUCUGGGAAACUGCCUGAUGGAGGGGGAUAACUACUGGAAACGGUAGCUAAUACCGCAUAACGUCGCAAGACCAAAGUGGGGGACCUUCGGGCCUCAUGCCAUCAGAUGUGCCCAGAUGGGAUUAGCUAGUAGGUGGGGUAACGGCUCACCUAGGCGACGAUCCCUAGCUGGUCUGAGAGGAUGACCAGCCACACUGGAACUGAGACACGGUCCAGACUCCUACGGGAGGCAGCAGUGGGGAAUAUUGCACAAUGGGCGCAAGCCUGAUGCAGCCAUGCCGCGUGUGUGAAGAAGGCCUUCGGGUUGUAAAGCACUUUCAGCGGGGAGGAAGGCGUUAAGGUUAAUAACCUUGGCGAUUGACGUUACCCGCAGAAGAAGCACCGGCUAACUCCGUGCCAGCAGCCGCGGUAAUACGGAGGGUGCAAGCGUUAAUCGGAAUUACUGGGCGUAAAGCGCACGCAGGCGGUCUGUCAAGUCGGAUGUGAAAUCCCCGGGCUCAACCUGGGAACUGCAUUCGAAACUGGCAGGCUAGAGUCUUGUAGAGGGGGGUAGAAUUCCAGGUGUAGCGGUGAAAUGCGUAGAGAUCUGGAGGAAUACCGGUGGCGAAGGCGGCCCCCUGGACAAAGACUGACGCUCAGGUGCGAAAGCGUGGGGAGCAAACAGGAUUAGAUACCCUGGUAGUCCACGCCGUAAACGAUGUCGAUUUGGAGGUUGUGCCCUUGAGGCGUGGCUUCCGGAGCUAACGCGUUAAAUCGACCGCCUGGGGAGUACGGCCGCAAGGUUAAAACUCAAAUGAAUUGACGGGGGCCCGCACAAGCGGUGGAGCAUGUGGUUUAAUUCGAUGCAACGCGAAGAACCUUACCUGGUCUUGACAUCCACAGAACUUUCCAGAGAUGGAUUGGUGCCUUCGGGAACUGUGAGACAGGUGCUGCAUGGCUGUCGUCAGCUCGUGUUGUGAAAUGUUGGGUUAAGUCCCGCAACGAGCGCAACCCUUAUCCUUUGUUGCCAGCGGUCCGGCCGGGAACUCAAAGGAGACUGCCAGUGAUAAACUGGAGGAAGGUGGGGAUGACGUCAAGUCAUCAUGGCCCUUACGACCAGGGCUACACACGUGCUACAAUGGCAUAUACAAAGAGAAGCGACCUCGCGAGAGCAAGCGGACCUCAUAAAGUAUGUCGUAGUCCGGAUUGGAGUCUGCAACUCGACUCCAUGAAGUCGGAAUCGCUAGUAAUCGUAGAUCAGAAUGCUACGGUGAAUACGUUCCCGGGCCUUGUACACACCGCCCGUCACACCAUGGGAGUGGGUUGCAAAAGAAGUAGGUAGCUUAACCUUCGGGAGGGCGCUUACCACUUUGUGAUUCAUGACUGGGGUGAAGUCGUAACAAGGUAACCGUAGGGGAACCUGCGGUUGGAUCACCUCCUUA
rnacentral:rRNA from 9 species